GACUUGCAGUCGGAGGCAGGCAAGAAGUGAAAUCAGAAGACAGGAAGUGGCUGAGGGGAACGUCUUUUCUCUCUCCUGCUCAGCCCGAAGUGAACAGGUAGCAUCAGAGAUGAGAUCCUGAAUUGAAUGACUUGAAUUACUAUGGAAAGUGAUUGACCAAGAUUGUCUCCAUUCCUCCCUGGCUUCUCCACAGGGCGGCUCACCAUGGCAGCCGGCUCCAUCACCGCCAGCCAGCGAGAGGGCAAGACGAGAGGGCUGACAAGAGGGACGCUACCAUCACAGAGGCUGGUCUCGAACUCCUGACCUGAGGUAAUCCGCCCACCACAGCCUCCCAAAGUGCUGGGAUUACAGGCGUGGCUAUUAGUCUCGCCAAGUUAAGAUUCUUGAUGCCAACCAAUCACCCACUCCAUGUUUUUCAGGAUUAUAAACACUAGUUAUAAAGCAUGAACUGCCUAGGGGUGGUGGCUCACGCCUGUAAUCCCAGCACUUUGGGAGGCAGAGGCAGUUGGAUCACCUGAGGUCAGGAGUUUGAGACUAGCCUGACCAAUAUGGUGAAACCCCACCUCUAGCUGGGCGUGGUGGUGUGCACCUGUAAUCCCAGCUACUUGGAGACAGGAGAAUCGCUUGAACCUGGGAGGUGGAAGUUGCAGUGAGUGGAGAUCAUGCCAUUGUACUCCAGCCUGGGCAACAGAGCAAGACUUCAUCUCAAAAAUAAGCAUUGACAACUGCGGGUCAAAACUGCCCCUGGUUGAGACUCACUGGCUGGAGCCAAAAGGCUGAGCUGCCUGCCCAACAGCAGC
rnacentral:antisense_RNA from 1 species